UGGGGAAUAUUGCACAAUGGGGGAAACCCUGAUGCAGCGACGCCGCGUGAACGAAGAAGGUAUUCGUAUCGUAAAGUUCUGUCCUAUGGGAAGAUAAUGACAGUACCAUAGAAGAAAGCUCCGGCUAAAUACGUGCCAGCAGCCGCGGUAAUACGUAUGGAGCGAGCGUUGUCCGGAAUUAUUGGGCGUAAAGGGUACGCAGGCGGUUUAAUAAGUCGAAUGUUAAAGAUCGGGGCUCAACCCCGCAAAGCAUUGGAAACUGAUAAACUCGAGUAGUGGAGAGGAAAGUGGAAUUCCUAGUGUAGUGGUGAAAUACGUAGAUAUUAGGAGGAAUACCAGUAGCGAACGCGACUUUCUGGACACAAACUGACGCUGAGGUACGAAAGCGUGGGGAGCAAACAGG
rnacentral:rRNA from 1 species